AGGGAAUCUUCCGCAAUGGACGCAAGUCUGACGGAGCAACGCCGCGUGAGCGAAGAAGGUUUUCGGAUCGUAAAGCUCUGUUGCCGGAGAAGAACGGACGCCGGAGGAAAUGCCGGAGUCGUGACGGUAACCGGCCAGAAAGCCACGGCUAACUACGUGCCAGCAGCCGCGGUAAUACGUAGGUGGCAAGCGUUGUCCGGAAUUAUUGGGCGUAAAGCGCGCGCAGGCGGCUCUUUAAGUCUGAUGUGAAAGGUUGCGGCUUAACCGCAAAAGGUCAUUGGAAACUGGGGAGCUUGAGUGCAGAAGAGGAGAGUAGAAUUCCACGUGUAGCGGUGAAAUGCGUAGAGAUGUGGAGGAAUACCGGUGGCGAAAGCGGCUCUCUGGUCUGUCACUGACGCUGAGGUGCGAAAGCGUGGGGAGCGAAC
rnacentral:rRNA from 1 species